AGUGAACGCUGGCGGUAGGCCUAACACAUGCAAGUCGAACGGCAGCACAGUAAGAGCUUGCUCUUACGGGUGGCGAGUGGCGGACGGGUGAGGAAUACAUCGGAAUCUACUUUUUCGUGGGGGAUAACGUAGGGAAACUUACGCUAAUACCGCAUACGACCUACGGGUGAAAGCAGGGGAUCUUCGGACCUUGCGCGAUUGAAUGAGCCGAUGUCGGAUUAGCUAGUUGGCGGGGUAAAGGCCCACCAAGGCGACGAUCCGUAGCUGGUCUGAGAGGAUGAUCAGCCACACUGGAACUGAGACACGGUCCAGACUCCUACGGGAGGCAGCAGAGGGGAAUAUUGGACAAAGGGCGCAAGCCUGAUCCAGCCAUACCGCGUGGGCGAAGAAGGCCUUCGGGUUGUAAAGCCCUUUUGUUGGGAAAGAAAAGCAGCAGGUUAAUACCCCGCUGUUCUGACGGUACCCAAAGAAUAAGCACCGGCUAACUUCGUG
rnacentral:rRNA from 1 species